rnacentral:rRNA from 1 species
AUUGAACGCUGGCGGCAUGCUUUACACAUGCAAGUCGAACGGCAGCACGGACUUCGGUCUGGUGGCGAGUGACGAACGGGUGAGUAAUACAUCGGAACGUGCCCAGUUGUGGGGGAUAACUACUCGAAAGAGUAGCUAAUACCGCAUGAGAACUGAGGUUGAAAGCAGGGGAUCGUAAGACCUUGCGCAACUGGAGCGGCCGAUGGCAGAUUAGGUAGUUGGUGGGAUAAAAGCUUACCAAGCCGACGAUCUGUAGCUGGUCUGAGAGGACGACCAGCCAUACUGGGACUGAGACACGGCCCAGACUCCUACGGGAGGCAGCAGUGGGGAAUUUUGGACAAUGGGCGAAAGCCUGAUCCAGCAAUGCCGCGUGCAGGAUGAAGGCCUUCGGGUUGUAAACUGCUUUUGUACGGAACGAAAAGCUUCGGGUUAAUACCCUGGAGUCAUGACGGUACCGUAAGAAUAAGCACCGGCUAACUACGUGCCAGCCGCCGCAGUAA